rnacentral:rRNA from 1 species
UGGGGAAUUUUGGACAAUGGGGGCAACCCUGAUCCAGCCAUCCCGCGUGUGCGAUGAAGGCCUUCGGGUUGUAAAGCUCUGUCUUCUGGGACGAUAAUGACGGUACCAGAGGAGGAAGCCACGGCUAACUACGUGCCAGCAGCCGCGGUAAUACGUAGGUGGCAAGCGUUGUCCGGAUUUACUGGGCGUAAAGGAUGCGUAGGCGGAUACUUAAGUCAGAUGUGAAAAUCCCGGGCUUAACUUGGGAACUGCAUUUGAAACUGGGUAUCUAGAGUGCGGGAGAGGAAAGUGGAAUUCCUAGUGUAGCGGUGAAAUGCGUAGAGAUUAGGAAGAACACCAGUGGCGAAGGCGACUUUCUGGACCGUAACUGACGCUGAGGCAUGAAAGCGUGGGGAGCAAACA